UGAGUGUAAUAUUAAAUCUAAGAAUUCACAUUUUUUACUCGUUACAGUUAGCAUAUUGAUAAGAAUUAAUAUUAUUUUAGGCAAAAAUGUCGGUAUUUGAAGGCGGUGUCAGAGGAGUGGCUGCCGUCUGGAGUCCGCUCUUCAAAACCCGAAAAGAUCUUCAGCAGGAUAUAUGCACAUAUCUGACUGGCUCCCUACUCUAUACUCUGCAGCAGGUGGCAACGUAGAGAUGCUGAACGACUUGGACGGAUUAAAUCAGUGGGAUUAUUUAGUUUAUGACAGAACAAAAAGUCCGCGGAGUGAACUCCUCGUCAAUAUCUGGGAGAGAGUGGGAGAUUGGGCCAUCAUCAAAGACGAAUGGAAACUGGUCAAAGUAAACUCCAUUGUCCCUUUGAACCACACGCAACUAUUUGACGGCGAAAGCGGGCGCUCCGACGGGAGGGAUGUACUAAAUCUCGUCGCGAACAGUCCCGUUUCCAAGGCCCUACGACGCAACCAGCCCUCGACGCUCUCCGGAGGGAAUACGAAAUGCGCCGAGCAGAUCUAGACAUGACGAGGACCGCACUGUGCGCGAAUCGAAUAGCGACUUCGGAAGCUGUCCCAUUCCCUGGUCCAAAUCCCUGCAACGAGAAACCCUGCCUCUUCAACAUCCGGGAGGAUCCGUGCGAGUUCCACGAUGUGGCCAAUCAGCAUCCAUCGGUGGUCGACGAACUGAAGGAGCUCUAUGAGAGCCACGCCGCACGGUUGGUCAAAGAGCAAGACCAUGGCUUCGAUCCAGCUGCCGAGCCUGAGCUUUGGGGAGGCUGGUGGGCGCCGUGGUUGGAUUCAAGCUAGAAUGUUCAGCACGUCGAAAUGCCUAUCAGAGACAUCCUAUUCUGCCGUGAUAGCGAAGAUAGCAGGAAGUGCAAAAAUGAAGUUUUGAAAAACGGGCUCAGAGGCGUCUGACCGGAAAACUGUAUUGAAGGAAGUCUCCGUUCUCUGUCAAACUGCCACUACACUGUUAAAAAUCCCGGCGCGAAAUUCACGCUUACUCAGUUGCUAUUUUGACCACCUGUUCCUCUGAGUGCAUGGAUCCGGCGCGAAUUUCGUGCUCUGGCGGGAGUGAAAAUCUGACAGGCAAACGUAAAACGGAACUGCCGCAGCACGGAUUCGAACCCGAGUCGCGGCGGUGAUAGACGAGUGCGCCACUAUUUUGCCGUACGGCGCUCGUAUCAGGUGGCUCUGAAUUCACGCUACUUGAGGUACCUCAACUAUAAUUCGUCCGUCGUUGGUGAUAUUUACGCUCUGAUCUAUUCACUCAGAGUAUGGCGCGAAAUUCGCGCUGGAUUUUUUUUUUCACGCCGGCUAUUCACUCAGAGUAAAUCAUUGAUUUUUAACAACAUAAUCGCCCGAAAGACUCUUAGAAAUCGUUUGGAUGAUUAAAAUCGACCAAUUCUCUUUCAAUUGCAUACAGUGAGAAAUAGCGAUGGCUUAUGAACCAAUUGGUAGUUCAUAUGGAACACCACUAAUAGUAUAGUAAAGGCAACAUAUACUAAUAGCAUAUAUACCUUAGUUAUGGUAUACAUACCUCAGUAUGGUACGAGAUACCUUAUUAUGGUUCACAGAUCGAGAAUCACUACAGUUCAUUUAUAACUUUUAGUGGUAAUACAUAUGAACCACUAAUUGGUUUAGAAAGUCGUAAAUUUUUCACCGCGUGAAAGGGAUAUUACUCAUUUUCAUGUUAGGCUAGUAUUAGGCAAGACAGCCGUAAGUGCUCUCUUCUGUAUGCUAGGGUGGUUGCGUUUGCGUUUUGGUCACACAACAAACACAUUUUCUGAUUGGAAAUUGGCAGAAAAGGACAGCAUUUCACUUGAGAGCACUGUUUCCAUUGGCUCUUUAAAAGAUUAAUGUCACUCACUGCUGCCUUGCUUGAAACUACGUAAUUUUUUGCGCAUUCACGGCUUUCUCACAUGUCUCAUUUUGAUACACUUAAGAUGAAUUUUGCUGUUUUAGCUAUUUCAAUGGUUUCAUCUAAAAGAGAUUAGACGAAUUUUGAAGGAAACUCGAUUUUGAAAUUGACAUUUACAGCGCUCUUCCCUAUCACGGCAGUAUUGAUCACCUCAGGAUCCAAUGGGUUGAUUGAUAAAUCGUUAUCGCAUGAUCCAUGGUCGAUACGUCCCUCUCUGAGCAAUGCUAUCUAGCAAUCAAGGUCAACUGCUAACGAUUCAACGAUCCAGGCGCCAGGGGCGGAUCCAGCAAUUUGGCAACACAGGAUGUUCCCCAUUUAAACCUACGUUUAAUAAUCGAUUCAUGUCGGAGCACCUCCAGAAUCGAUACAUUUCCAUAAGUUUAAAUAGAGAAAAAACAAUGUUGCCAGUUUGCUGGAUCCGCCAAUGCCAGGCGCAGCGGGUCGAUCGAUGAAUCGUAAUCCAAGUUGUUUCUACCAAGACCUACCAGAUAUUUGUAAAAUAUCAAGGCGUACUCAGCGCCUUUUGAAAAUCCUCGUGGGCUUUGGUCAAAAACUAAAUUGAAAUGGCCAUGUCCCACACAAAACCUUUUGAGUUAUUGUACAUUAGGGUGGCGCGUUUUUGGACUUUUUUUUCGUUUUGAAAAUGGACAUAGCACAAUAGUGGCGAAAUGGUCUAAAAACAACGCCUGAAUUUUCCUGAAUUUUUUCGUCAACAUUUAGGCCUCCCGGAUCGACGUUGAAGUUAGAAUUUGCGGGAAAUUCAG
rnacentral:lncRNA from 1 species